rnacentral:rRNA from 1 species
AAGUGCGAAACUCACCUCGAGAUAAGAUUUCCCACUCCUUUAUGGAGUUAAGACCCCUGAGAGAUGAUCAGGUAGAUAGGAUGGAAGUGGAAGUGCGGCGACGCAUGGAGCGGACCAUUACUAAUCGGUCGAGGACUUAACCA